AAGCACCUUGACGGAUUUCUUCGGAUUGAAGCCUUGGUGACUGAGCGGCGGACGGGUGAGUAACGCGUGGGUAACCUGCCUCAUACAGGGGGAUAACAGUUGGAAACGGCUGCUAAUACCGCAUAAGCGCACAGUACCGCAUGGUAUGGUGUGAAAAACUCCGGUGGUAUGAGAUGGACCCGCGUCUGAUUAGGUAGUUGGUGGGGUAACGGCCCACCAAGGCGACGAUGGGUAGGGGUUCUGAGAGGAAGGUCCCCACAUUGGGACUGAGACACGGCCCAAACUCC
rnacentral:rRNA from 1 species